rnacentral:rRNA from 1 species
GGGCCCGCACAAGCAGUGGAGCAUGUGGUUUAAUUCGAUGCAACGCGCAGAACCUUACCAACACUUGACAUGUUCGUCGCGACUCUAAGAGAUUAGAGUUUUCGGUUCGGCCGGACGAAACACAGGUGCUGCAUGGCUGUCGUCAGCUCGUGUCGUGAGAUGUUGGGUUAAGUCCCGCAACGAGCGCAACCCUCACUUUUAGUUGCCAUCAUUAAGUUGGGCACUCUGAAAGAACUGCCAGUGAUAAGCUGGAGGAAGGUGGGGAUGACGUCAAGUCCUCAUGGCCCUUACGUGUUGGGCUACACACGUGCUACAAUGGUAUCUACAACAGGAAGCAAGACGGCGACGUCAAGCAAAUCCUUAAAAGAUACCUCAGUUCGGAUUGCACUCUGCAACUCGAGUGCAUG